rnacentral:rRNA from 1 species
GACGAACGCUGGCGGCGUGCUUAACACAUGCAAGUCGAACGGAAAGGCCCUGCUUUUGUGGGGUGCUCGAGUGGCGAACGGGUGAGUAACACGUGAGUAACCUGCCCUUGACUUUGGGAUAACUUCAGGAAACUGGGGCUAAUACCGGAUAGGAGCUCCUGCUGCAUGGUGGGGGUUGGAAAGUUUCGGCGGUUGGGGAUGGACUCGCGGCUUAUCAGCUUGUUGGUGGGGUAGUGGCUUACCAAGGCUUUGACGGGUAGCCGGCCUGAGAGGGUGACCGGCAACAUGGGGCAUGAGAUACGGCCCAGACCCCGACGGGAGAAAGCGGUGGGGAAUAUGACACAAGGGGCGGAGGCCUGAGGCAGCAACCCCGGGUGGGGAAGGGCGGCCUUGGGUUUGUAACCCCCUUUCGCCGGUGACGAAGCGUGAGGGACGGUAGUGGAUAAAGAAGCCCCGGCUACCUACGUG